AUGCGGCUCGUCGGAGCGUGCGUCGAGGCAACUCUUUCAACUCCGACGGAAGCAGAGCCGGCGCUACAAUGGAACUUCGCCGGAUUUGCAAUGGAACUUCGCUGGAGCUGCAAUGGAGUUCGCCGGACGCCGUCGAUGCUGCGUUGGAGCUUUGCCGGAGGUGCAAUGGAGCUUCGCCGGACGACGUCGGUGCCACGUUGGAGCUCCGUCGGGGCUGCAAUGGAGCUUCGCCGGACGACGUCAGUGCUUCGUUGGAGCUCCAUCGGGGCUGCAAUGGAGCUUCGCCAGACGUUGUCGCGGCUGCAUUGGAGCUAUCGCCGGGCCGUGCUGUGCUACAUUGAAGCUUUGACAGGUGCCAGCAGCACUACGUUGAAGCUGGUCUGCUGUCGUGGCUUUGCUGCAUCGAACGGCCACCAGCACGCUAAUCCGACGGCUGGCUAG
rnacentral:rRNA from 1 species